rnacentral:rRNA from 1 species
UGACCUCAAAUCAGGCGGGACUACCCGCUGAACUUAAGCAUAUCAAUAAGCGGAGGAAAAGAAACUAACAAGGAUUCCCCUAGUAACUGCGAGUGAAGCGGGAUGAGCUCAAAUUUAAAAUCUGGCGUCUUCGGCGUCCGAGUUGUAAUUUAGAGAAGU